CUCCACCUGAUUCUCCACGUCCAUCUGAUCGUACUCUGGCUCAACCUGAGGCUAAGGCUCGUCAUCAGCAACAGCACAAUGUGGCCUACCAUGUAACACUCCGUUUUCCCAACUUAAAAAUUUCAAUACAUUUAUCAGAGUAAAUCAUCACAAACGGGAUAUCACACUUCUUAAAAAUCAUAAAUAGAUAAAUAACAAUUUAUCCUUCAACAAAAUACUUCAAACAUCGCAGUAGAAUUAGUUCAUCAUCAUAAAUAAAGUCUUGGCACGCAGGCCUCAUCAAAAUAUCUCAUAAAUUCAGUCAAACAACUUAAUCAUAAAUCAAAUACGUAAAGGAACAAGAAAUAGCCACAAAAGAUCCCAUCCCGUUACGUAUCAGAGCACCUAAAAGGACACAGUGAGGGAUAACCACUCACGACAGCAACUCCAGCUACUUAAACUUGAUCACC
rnacentral:lncRNA from 1 species